AAUAUUGAACAAUGAGCGGAAGACAGAUCGAGCCAGCGAGCGUGUGUGAAGAAGGACUUCCGUUUGUAUAGCAAUCUCAUUCGGGAGGAAAGACAGGAAGGUAAUAGCUUGCUGAUUUGACGUUACGGCCAGAAUCAGCACCGGCUAACUUCGUGCAAGCAGCCUCGGUAAUACGAAGGGUGCAAGCGUUCAUCGGAAUUACUGGGCGUAAAGCGCGUGUAGGUGGUUUGUUAAGUUGGAAGUGAAAGCCCCGGGCUCAACCGGGGAACUGCUUUCAAAACUGGCAAACUAGAGUAUGGCAGGGGGUGGUGGAAUUUCUGGUGUAGCGGUGAAAUGCGUAGAUAUAGGAAGGAACACCAGUGGCGAAGGCGACCACCUGGGCUAAUACUGACACUGAGGUGCGAAAGCGUGGGGAGCAAAC
rnacentral:rRNA from 1 species